CCAUUUAGGGUUACAACAAAACAAAGCUCAUAACAAAAAAAACAACGGCAGACUCUACGAGCAUCUGAACAACAGCGGCGCCUCCACCCUCAACGACCACCUCCGCUCCGGCCAUCCUUCUCCAGCCGACAACCGUCCUCCAAUAAAGUCUCUUUUGAGGUAAAGUCUCUACGAACAACAGAACCACAACCACCCCAAAAUCAACAGCCUUUUUUGAGAUGUGGUGGAAUCAAAUGUCAUACAGAUCACACCAAAUGAUCUAAGGCUACACGGUAUGCAAACGGGAUGAAGACGUAUGGAGGACGGAGCUCGACAGGGGUGGGCGGGAUGGGGUGACGGAACGUCGAAGAAAGGGGGCCCACCUGAAGUAUCGUCCUGAACGUCGAAGAAUGGACGUUGAAGACGGGGACGGGGAGAAGGACGCAGGGGGCGGCAUGGUGUUGGCUCCGGCGACGGACCGGGACGGAGGGGGACGACCCCCAUACCGUCCAGCCUAAUUUGGUUAUCAAAAUUUAGCAACAAAUUACUAUAUAUUACUAUUACUACUAUUUAUAUAUCAAUAAACGAAUUGUUGAAAUGAAUAGUGAUUUUAAUAUUAUAAUAAUAUAUAAUUUUAAUAUUUUUUUAUUUUAA